rnacentral:tRNA from 1 species
GUAAUCUGUGGCUCAGUGGUACAGUGCUCGCCUAGCAUGUGGGAGCCCCUGGAUUCAAUCCUCAGCACCACA